GCGCGGCGCCGGCNUAAGUCCCUUAGAACAGGGCAUCAUAGAGGGUGAGAAUCCCGUCUGCGGCCGGUGGCCAAACCUAUGUGAAACCCCUUCGACGAGUCGAGUUGUUUGGGAAUGCAGCUCAAAAUGGGUGGUAAAUUUCAUCUAAAGCUAAAUACCGGCCAGAGACCGAUAGCGCACAAGUAGAGUGAUCGAAAGAUGAAAAGCACUUUGGAAAGAGAGUUAAACAGUACGUGAAAUUGUUGAAAGGGAAGCGCUUGCGACCAGACCUGCCCCCGGGUGCUCCGCCGCGAUUUGUCGCGGUGCACUGGCCCGGGAUCAGGCCAGCAUCGGUUUGGGCGGUGGGAAAAAGGCUUCGGGAAUGUAGCUCCCUCCGGGGAGUCKUAUAGCCCGGAGCGUCAUGCCGCCUGCCUAGACCGAGGACCGCGCUUCGGCGAGGAUGCNGGCGUAAUGGUCGUAAGCGACCCGUCUUGAAACACGGACCAAGGAGUCUAACAUCUAUGCGAGUGUUUGGGUGUCAAACCCGGGCGCGUAAUGAAAGUGAACGGAGGUGGGAACCCUCUGCGGGGCGCACCAUCGACCGAUCCUGAUGUCUUCGGAUGGAUUUGAGUAUGAGCANNGCUGUUGGGACCCGAAAGAUGGUGAACUAUGCCUGAAUAGGGUGAAGCCAGAGGAAACUCUGGUGGAGGCUCGCAGCGGUUCUGACGUGCAAAUCGAUCGUCAAAUUUGGGUAUAGGGGCGAAAGACUAAUCGAA
rnacentral:rRNA from 1 species